UACGUAGGGUGCAAGCGUUGUCCGGAAUUAUUGGGCGUAAAGCGCGCGUAGGCGGCUACUUAAGUCGGAUGUGAAAGCCCUUGGCUCAACUGAGGAAGUGCACCCGAAACCAUCUGGCUAGAGUCCGGGAGAGGAGAGUGGAAUUCCUGGUGUAGCGGUGAAAUGCGCAGAUAUCAGGAAGAACACCCGUGGCGAAAGCGGCUCUCUGGAACGGUACUGACGCUGAGACGCGAAAGCGUGGGGAGCGAACAGG
rnacentral:rRNA from 1 species